rnacentral:tRNA from 1 species
GCCCUCGUAGUUCAAUUGGAUAGAGCGUUUGCUUGCGGAGCAAAAGGUUGCGUGUUCGAAUCACGCCGGGGGCG